rnacentral:rRNA from 1 species
CAUGGCUCAGAACGAACGCGGGCGGCGUGGCUAAGACAUGCAAGUCGUACGGACCUCAGUAGCAAUAUUGAGGUUAGUGGCGAAAGGGUGAGUAAUGAAUGGGUAACGUACCCUGAACUCGGGGAUAACAGCGCCCGCAAGGGCUUUAGCGAAAGUGCUGCUAAUACCCGAUGACAUCGCGAGAUCGCAUGGUUUUGCGAUCAAAGCCGGGGACCCGCAAGGGCCUGGUGGUUUGGGAGCGGCCCAUUUCCUAUCAGCUAGUUGGUGAGGUAACGGCUCACCAAGGCUUCGACGGGUAGCCGGACUGAGAGGUUGGCCGGCCACAUCGGGACUGAGACACUGCCCGGACACCUACGGGUGGCUGCAGUAACGAAUAUUGGGCAAUGGGCGCAAGCCUGACCCAGCGACGCCGCGUGCAGGAGGAAGUCCUUCGGGAUGUAAACUGCUGUCAGGGGCUAACAAGCAAAGGGUGUUAACAGCAUCCGGCGUUGAGUCGCCCCAGAGGAAGCCACGACUAACUCUGUGCCAGCAGUCGCGGUAAUACAGAGGUGGCAAGCGUUGUUCGGAAUCACUGGGCUUAAAGCGCGUGUAGGCGGCUCGGAAAGUGUCGUGUGAAAUCCCAGGGCUCAACCCUGGAACUGCGCGGCAAACUCCCGAGCUUGAGGCUGGUAGAGGUGCCUGGAACUCUCGGUGGAGCGGUGAAAUGCGUAGAUAUCGAGAGGAACGCCAGAGGCGAAAGCGGGGCACUGGGCCGGUUCUGACGCUGAGACGCGAAAGCGUGGGGAGCAAACAGGAUUAGAUACCCUGGUAGUCCACGCCGUAAACGAUGCACACUAGACGUCGGACCCUCUGACGGGACCGGCGUCGCAGCAAAAGUCCUAAGUGUGCCGCCUGGGGAGUACGGCCCGCAGGCUAAA